rnacentral:lncRNA from 1 species
GAGAACAAAAGAGAAAUUAGAAGAGGGUCCUGCUAGCUCCACCUUGAGAACACUGGGAGUAUGGGCUUACAGCAGAAGAGGAAAGUGGUGAGGUCACCAGCCGAGGAGUGGAUGGGGAGAAGAGAGAGAGAACGGAAACUCAUUGAGAAAUACAUUGUGUCAGCUGGGAAACUGGACAGGGUCAUUGGCCACCAGGCCACGAGGACAAAGGGAGCAGAAUCGAUGAACAGGAUUUCAGAUGGCCGAGGAUCCUGGUUCAGUACUCAGCACCCACAUCAUGGCUCACCACCGUAUCUCCAGUUCCCGAGGACACAACCUCCUCUUCUGAAACUUGGUGGGUACAGAGUGCACAUACAGACAUUCAGGAGAAACAUUG